rnacentral:rRNA from 1 species
CCUACGGGGGCAGCAGUGGGGAAUAUUGGACAAUGGGCGAAAGCCUGAUCCAGCCAUGCCGCGUGUGUGAAGAAGGCCUUCGGGUUGUAAAGCACUUUCAGUGGGGAAGAAAGCCUUGGGGCUAAUACCCUCGAGGUAGGACAUCACCCACAGAAGAAGCACCGGCUAACUCCGUGCCAGCAGCCGCGGUAAUACGGAGGGUGCGAGCGUUAAUCGGAAUUACUGGGCGUAAAGCGCGCGUAGGCGGUCUGAUAAGCCGGUUGUGAAAGCCCCGGGCUCAACCUGGGAACGGCAUCCGGAACUGUCAGGCUAGAGUGCAGGAGAGGAAGGUAGAAUUCCCGGUGUAGCGGUGAAAUGCGUAGAGAUCGGGAGGAAUACCAGUGGCGAAGGCGGCCUUCUGGACUGACACUGACGCUGAGGUGCGAAAGCGUGGGUAGCAAACAGGAUUAGAUACCCUGGUAGUC